AUGCAGUCGAGCGAUGGAUUAAGAGCUUGCUCUUAUGAAGUUAGCGGCGGACGGGUGAGUAACACGUGGGUAACCUGCCCAUAAGACUGGGAUAACUCCGGGAAACCGGGGCUAAUACCGGAUAACAUUUUGAACCGCAUGGUUCGAAAUUGAAAGGCGGCUUCGGCUGUCACUUAUGGAUGGACCCGCGUCGCAUUAGCUAGUUGGUGAGGUAACGGCUCACCAAGGCAACGAUGCGUAGCCGACCUGAGAGGGUGAUCGGCCACACUGGGACUGAGACACGGCCCAGACUCCUACGGGAGGCAGCAAUAGGGAAUCUUCCGCAAUGGACGAAAGUCUGACGGAGCAACGCCGCGUGAGUGAUGAAGGCUUUCGGGUCGUAAAACUCUGUUGUUAGGG
rnacentral:rRNA from 1 species